rnacentral:rRNA from 1 species
AAAAGACGACAUUAGACGAAUCAUCUGGAAAGAUGAAUCAAAGAAGGUAAUAAUCCUGUAGUCGAAAAUGUUGUCUCUCUUGAGUGGAUCCUGAGUACGACGGAGCACGUGAAAUUCCGUCGGAAUCUGGGAGGACCAUCUCCUAAGGCUAAAUACUCUCUAGUGACCGAUAGUGAACCAGUACCGUGAGGGAAAGGUGAAAAGCACCCCGGAAGGGGAGUGAAAUAGAACCUGAAACCGUGUGCUUACAAGUAGUCAGAGCCCGUUAAUGGGUGAUGGCGUGCCUUUUGUAGAAUGAACCGGCGAGUUACGAUUUGAUGCAAGGUUAAGCAGUAAAUGUGGAGCCGUAGCGAAAGCGAGUCUGAAUAGGGCGUUUAGUAUUUGGUCGUAGACCCGAAACCAGGUGAUCUACCCUUGGUCAGGUUGAAGUUCAGGUAACACUGAAUGGAGGACCGAACCGACUUACGUUGAAAAGUGAGCGGAUGAACUGAGGGUAGCGGAGAAAUUCCAAUCGAACCUGGAGAUAGCUGGUUCUCUCCGAAAUAGCUUUAGGGCUAGCCUCAAGUGAUGAUUAUUGGAGGUAGAGCACUGUUUGGACGAGGGGCCCCUCUCGGGUUACCGAAUUCAGACAAACUCCGAAUGCCAAUUAAUUUAACUUGGGAGUCAGAACAUGGGUGAUAAGGUCCGUGUUCGAAAGGGAAACAGCCCAGACCACCAGCUAAGGUCCCAAAAUAUAUGUUAAGUGGAAAAGGAUGUGGCGUUGCCCAGACAACUAGGAUGUUGGCUUAGAAGCAGCCAUCAUUUAAAGAGUGCGUAAUAGCUCACUAGUCGAGUGACACUGCGCCGAAAAUGUACCGGGGCUAAACAUAUUACCGAAGCUGUGGAUUGUCCUUUGGACAAUGGUAGGAGAGCGUUCUAAGGGCGUUGAAGCAUGAUCGUAAGGACAUGUGGAGCGCUUAGAAGUGAGAAUGCCGGUGUGAGUAGCGAAAGACGGGUGAGAAUCCCGUCCACCGAUUGACUAAGGUUUCCAGAGGAAGGCUCGUCCGCUCUGGGUUAGUCGGGUCCUAAGCUGAGGCCGACAGGCGUAGGCGAUGGAUAACAGGUUGAUAUUCCUGUACCACCUAUAAUCGUUUUAAUCGAUGGGGGGACGCAGUAGGAUAGGCGAAGCGUGCGAUUGGAUUGCACGUCUAAGCAGUAAGGCUGAGUAUUAGGCAAAUCCGGUACUCAUUAAGGCUGAGCUGUGAUGGGGAGAAGACAUUGUGUCUUCGAGUCGUUGAUUUCACACUGCCGAGAAAAGCCUCUAGAUAGAAAAUAGGUGCCCGUACCGCAAACCGACACAGGUAGUCAAGAUGAGAAUUCUAAGGUGAGCGAGCGAACUCUCGUUAAGGAACUCGGCAAAAUGACCCCGUAACUUCGGGAGAAGGGGUGCUCUUUAGGGUUAACGCCCAGAAGAGCCGCAGUGAAUAGGCCCAAGCGACUGUUUAUCAAAAACACAGGUCUCUGCUAAACCGUAAGGUGAUGUAUAGGGGCUGACGCCUGCCCGGUGCUGGAAGGUUAAGAGGAGUGGUUAGCUUCUGCGAAGCUACGAAUCGAAGCCCCAGUAAACGGCGGCCGUAACUAUAACGGUCCUAAGGUAGCGAAAUUCCUUGUCGGGUAAGUUCCGACCCGCACGAAAGGCGUAACGAUUUGGGCACUGUCUCAACGAGAGACUCGGUGAAAUCAUAGUACCUGUGAAGAUGCAGGUUACCCGCGACAGGACGGAAAGACCCCGUGGAGCUUUACUGUAGCCUGAUAUUGAAAUUCGGCACAGCUUGUACAGGAUAGGUAGGAGCCUUUGAAACGUGAGCGCUAGCUUACGUGGAGGCGCUGGUGGGAUACUACCCUAGCUGUGUUGGCUUUCUAACCCGCACCACUUAUCGUGGUGGGAGACAGUGUCAGGCGGGCAGUUUGACUGGGGCGGUCGCCUCCUAAAAGGUAACGGAGGCGCUCAAAGGUUCCCUCAGAAUGGUUGGAAAUCAUUCAUAGAGUGUAAAGGCAUAAGGGAGCUUGACUGCGAGACCUACAAGUCGAGCAGGGUCGAAAGACGGACUUAGUGAUCCGGUGGUUCCGCAUGGAAGGGCCAUCGCUCAACGGAUAAAAGCUACCCCGGGGAUAACAGGCUUAUCUCCCCCAAGAGUUCACAUCGACGGGGAGGUUUGGCACCUCGAUGUCGGCUCAUCGCAUCCUGGGGCUGUAGUCGGUCCCAAGGGUUGGGCUGUUCGCCCAUUAAAGCGGUACGCGAGCUGGGUUCAGAACGUCGUGAGACAGUUCGGUCCCUAUCCGUCGUGGGCGUAGGAAAUUUGAGAGGAGCUGUCCUUAGUACGAGAGGACCGGGAUGGACAUACCUCUGGUGUACCAGUUGUCGUGCCAACGGCAUAGCUGGGUAGCUAUGUGUGGACGGGAUAAGUGCUGAAAGCAUCUAAGCAUGAAGCCCCCCUCAAGAUGAGAUUUCCCAACUUCGGUUAUAAGAUCCCUCAAAGAUGAUGAGGUUAAUAGGUUCGAGGUGGAAGCAUGGUGACAUGUGGAGCUGACGAAUACUAA